UGAUGGUGCUGACACAAGCAUCUGUGCUGUCCCUCCUGGCUAUUGCUGUGGAUCGAUACCUGUGGGUCUCAAUAGCUCUCAGUCUGCGCAAACGCCUCCGGAGGCAUGACUAGACUUCUGCACCUGCCGAAUCUAAAUGAAGGGCUUUUCUAAUCAAGGAGAAGAGGCUGGCAUGUUUUCUGGCUCUGGUUCUCCUACUGUUUGCAGCAUGUUGGAUGCCUCUGCAUCUCAUGAAUUGUGUACUACUUUCAGAGGGUCCUCAAGGCGUCCCCCAGAUCAUUUUCCACGCAGGAAUACUCCUCUCUCAUGCCAACACACCGGUGAACCCUGUAGUCUACGCACUCCGUAUCACAAAGAUCAGGGAGGCUUACCUGGAGAUCUGGAGUUGUACAGUGCUUGAGAGGACAAAGAGACUUCUCAAGCUCCUCAUGGAGAUCCCAGCCUGGAGAACCUAAUACCGGCCAUCAAACUACAUCACCCUCUAACACCGGCACAUGAAUCAGGCAGAUAAACUAAAACCAUAAUUUCACUGUAAUACGAUUCUGAAUGGAUCUUUUAGUGACUGUAUGUUGGAGACUGAUACUGUACAUAUUCUACAAUAUCCACAUGAAAAGCUUCUGAAAAGCUUCAGUCUUCAGGGACUGUGAAGCUGUAUGGCCACUAGAUGGAGCCAAAUGCUUAAAAACGGCUAUUCGUCCUAAAAGAAACAGAGAGCAGGCAUGCUAGUGAAACAUAUAAACUCUGUAAAGCGACAUGAGAACUAAUAGUCAGAAAACUAGUCCGAUACAUCAGGCUUUUAUGGUUCAUAGCUCUGUAGUAUUUAUUUAAUGCAAAACAUAUAAUAUAAUGCAAUACAAAGAUGCUGAACAAUCAUAAUUGACCUAGCUAACUGCCCUUUUUUUUUUUUUGGCAGAAUACUGUAUGUAUGGAUACUGUAAAAGCAUGGCCUUAACAUCUACUGAGAAAAUCUAUAUUUUAUAAUAUUUUGCAAUACAAUAAAUGCCCUUUCCAUGGUAAAAUAAUUAAAUGGUGUAAAAUAGUAACAGGAGAUUCCCAGAAGUCACUGUGAAGAAUCACAUUUGAUUUUUAUUAGUUUUUUGUUGUUGUUGAUUUUAUUUAAUUUAUUUUUUAUUUUAUUGUAAAUUCAACGAGAAGACUCUCAAUUGUUGAUUUGAAAACUCGAAUGAGGCUGACUACCUUAUAAUGGAAAGGGCAAAAAAAGAGCUAAUACCGCAAUUACAACUGUUACCUCAUAGUGACCAUUAAAAUAUUCCCAAAUAUUUGACUGCAGAGAGUUUCAUUUUUUUUUCUUCAUUUAAACAAGUUUCUCUCUAAACUUCAUACUUGAUUGUGUGGUUAGUGUCACUGGAUGCUACUGUAAUUUUGUUGACAUGGUUCAUGUGUUCAGAUAAAGGCUGUAGAUCAAAGUCUAACUUGACAGGUUUUGUUUACAUGUUCAUAUUUAUACACAGUUACAUUUGUUGCCAACCAACUUUGUGGAAAAAAUAAAAAUAAAACUUGAUGGAUGUUUAUGGUAACAAGCUAUCAAAUAUAGUAUAUGACUAACUGUAUUAGAGUGUUGAUGGAAGAGUUUUGCUUGAAUUAGCUUCACAGUAUUGACAUACCCUUGUUGUAUACAAUUUAUUAUGUAUAUACUGUGUUCUAUAAAAAUAAAAUGUUAUAUAUUAAGAUGUAUUAUAUAAAAUUUCGGUCAUAAUUGGUGGUAUGUCAGCUUGUUUCCAAACUAGAUACUGUCAUACUACAGUCUAGUCUGUUUUGAGAUCUACACUUUCAAAGUUUACUGUAAAUAUCAAAGAAUUCUCUCACAAGUUAUUUUAUUGGCAAAUAUAAUUUUCACUAAUAAAAUCAUAUUUUCUAAAGCUCUGAUCCUUUAUGCAACAGCUCCUUAAACUACAUGCCUACAAAAUUAUGUGUUUAUUAAAUUUGUUUGUUUUAUGUGAUUUUAUAAAGAUUGCACAACAAAGGAAUACAUACAGCAGCACAAACUGUUUUAAUCUCUAACUUUUUCCAAGCAAGACCUUCUUUCCACAAGAUAACUGUUUAUAAAUGUAUAAACUGCUCAAAAUUAACUUAAAUUAAAAUAAAAUCAAAAAGGCAAAAGAGUAUUAAAUAAAACUGUAUUUUAUUCAUAGAACAAAAACACAUUAUGAUUUAUUGUGCUGUUUUAUAUGUAUGUAUAUAUAUAUGUGUGUGUGUGUGUGUGUGUGUGUGUGUGUGUGUGUGUGUGUGUGUGUGUGUGUGUGUGUGUGUUUCAUUCUCUGAACAAGGCCACAUGCAUUGUCUGACUGAAAAUGAAUUUCCUGUUAUGAUGUGUGAAAAUCCUGUUUGAUCACAAGCCAACAGAAAUGCUAAAUUAUUGAUUAAGCCAUAAAUCUGAGCUUAGUAAAUCUCUUUUAAUCUGAUUUUUCUCUUCAUGUACCAGAUCAGCAUGUUAAGCUUGCAGCAGAGGAAUGGAUGUUGUUCAGGCUUGUUAGGUAAAGUGUAAGCCGGGUUUCACAAUGCUCACACACACACACACACACACACGCACACACACACACACACACACACACACACACACACACACACACACACACAAAGCCGCAACAGUCUUGUUGUGCUGUACAACGAGGUGAUUUCUAUCUUAAUGCACUAAGCAUUUCCUUUAAUGAAUGACCAUAACCUAUCAAAUGUUUAGUGGAGUGAGAACUAUUUCAGGCUUGAUCAUCAUUAAAUCUACACUAACAUUCAAAAGUCAGUGAGAUUUUAGAAAAAAUUCAUUCAAGUCUCUUAUGCUAACCAAUGACACAUUUAUUGCAUAAAAAAAAUAAAAUAAAAUAAAUAAAAAAAAGUUGAAAACAAAAUAUAUAAAUAUAGUGUAAAAUGCAAUUUAUUUCUGUGAUUCAAAGCUGGAUUUUCAGCAUCUUUACUCCAGUCUUCAGUGUCACAUGAUCCUUCAGAAAUCAUUCUAAGAUGCUGAUCUGUUGCUCAAGAAACAUUUCUGAUUAUUAUCAAUCACUGAGAAAAAAAAGUUGUAAAUAAAACAAAGAUUAUUGGAGUACAUUUUACAAGAAAAUUCUAUUUCAGUCUUUCCUCUUCAACAUUGCACUUUAAUUGGAUGUCACUUGUCUUUUCUUUGUAAUUAACUGUAAAUUUUUCUAGCUAUUUCUGAGUGAAAAUUGUUCAAAACUUUUAUUUUUCUUUUAUUUUUUUUGUCUUUUUUUUGGUGUAUAAUAUGGACCCUAUUUUAAUGAUCUAAACACUUGGUCUAAAGCGCACAGUGCAAUUAAGUUUAGGGUGUGUCUGAAUCCAUUUUUUCUAGUUUAAGGACAGGAAAAAUGGUCAGCGCGACAGACGCAUUGUCUAAAAGGGUGGUUCCUAUUCUCUUAAAGAGUAAUGGGUGUGUUUUGGGCAUAACGAGCCAUAAACCAAUCAGAGUCUUCUCACAUUCCCUUUAAAAGCAAGUUGCGCUCGCGUCAUGGCGGAUUCUGCAAAAGAAAAGCUGAAUGCCUCUCUAAUGAGGGAACGGAUCUGGUCGUGCGCGUAAUUCUGUGUGAUAUAUAUAUAUAUAUAUAUAUAUAUAUAUAUAUAUAUAUAUAUAUAUAUAUAUAUAUAUAUAUAAAUUGCGCCAGACUUUAGACCAGGUUUUUGUUGGUCAUUGGCGCAGUCUAUUUCAGUUGCCUUAAAAUUUGCUAUUUAAACAACGUGACACAGUACGUGAAAAUGACACAGUACGUCUGGCUGAAACUAGCAAAAUACACUUGCGUCGCACCUGGUGCCACAUUGUGCCGGGUAUAUGAUAAGGCCCUGUGAUUCAGGAUUCUCAGAUACAUAGAAAGUUCUAAUUCAUGAUAGAAAUCUUUUGUAACAUUAUAAAAGUCUUAACUCUCGUUUCUGAUUAUUUAAAUGCAAACUUUUUAUUUAUUUAUUUUUUUACUGACCCCAAACUUUUCAAACUGCUUAACUCUUCUUGAUUCAGUCAGAUUUACUGAAUAGAACGUGUUUCAGAUUUACUGAAUAAAGCAUGCUUUUUCGGGAGUUUGCUCCAUUACUUUGCUGCUUCGUAAAGUAUUUUUUUGCAGACUAACUUCAGUGUAUCACUCAUGCUACACUGCUCUGUUUAUGCAGGCAGUGUGAAUGAUGUAACUUGUAUAUAUGGGUGCCGAAAUAAACACUACGCUUACAUAUACAAAGUUCAUGUGGUGUGAAGCAGGCCAAAGGGUUUAAGCAAUAUUUAAACUCCAGGGAAUUUCCACUAGCAGACAGAUAGCUGGUACAACAAGGAAGGCAAUAGACUGUAUAGUUAUCACCUGAACAGGGUUUGAUCCCUCCCACCAAACUAUACAACCUACUACCUCACCCUGUCAGGACACCAAAGGACAGUCCCAUCGCCUGACACGUUUGCGUAUGCAUGAAGUCAGCAUGACUCAUCGAUACCAGCCCAUUUUGCUUUUGUAAUGUGAGUGAAUAUCCUUUCCAACUCACUGGAGGACUGCAGACACUUUUUCAAAUGAGUCCAUGUUGUUUGUGGAUGAUUUGGCUGUCGCCUUAGGAAAGACAGUAGAUUGUAUAGUUAUCUCAGUGAGAGAGCGCAGGGCUCCACAACUAUUCAAUCUACUACCUCAGCCCCAAGGACAGCAGAACAGAUGUCAACCAGCCAGACAGCAGACCGCUGGAUUCC
ensembl:lncRNA